UACGGAGGAGGCAAGCGUUAUCCGGAAUUAUUGGGCGUAAAGCGUCCGUAGGUGGUGAUUCAAGUCAGCGGUUAAGGCGUGGGGCGUAACCUCAUACAGGCCGUUGAAACUGGAUUGCUAGAGUGCGGUAGGGAUCGAGGGAAUUCCCAGUGUAGCGGAGAAAUGCGUAGAUAUUGGGAAGAACACCGGUGGCGAAAGCGCUCGGCUGGGCUUGCACUGACACUGAGGGACGAAAGCUAGGGGAGCGAGUGGG
rnacentral:rRNA from 1 species